rnacentral:rRNA from 1 species
GCCUACGGGGCGCAGCAGUGAGGAAUAUUGGUCAAUGGGAGAGAUCCUGAACCAGCCAAGCCGCGUGAGGGAAGACGGCCCUAUGGGUUGUAAACCUCUUUUGUCGGAGAACAAAACCCGGGACGUGUCCCGGACUGCGUGUAUCCGAAGAAAAAGCAUCGGCUAACUCCGUGCCAGCAGCCGCGGUAAUACGUAGGUGGCAAGCGUUGUCCGGAUUUACUGGGUGUAAAGGGCGUGCAGCCGGAGAGACAAGUCAGAUGUGAAAUCCACGGGCUCAACCCGUGAACUGCAUUUGAAACUGUUUC